rnacentral:rRNA from 1 species
AUUGAACGCUGGCGGCAUGCUUUACACAUGCAAGUCGAACGGUAACAGGCCUUCGGGUGCUGACGAGUGGCGAACGGGUGAGUAAUGCAUCGGAACGUACCCAGAGGUGGGGGAUAACGCAGCGAAAGCUGUGCUAAUACCGCAUGUGAUCUGAGGAUGAAAGCGGGGGACCGAGCAGCAAUGUUUGGCCUCGCGCCUUUGGAGCGGCCGAUGUCGGAUUAGCUAGUUGGUGGGGUAAAGGCCUACCAAGGCGACGAUCCGUAGCUGGUCUGAGAGGACGACCAGCCAAACUGGUACUGAGACACGGCCCAGACUCCUACGGGAGGCAGCAGUGGGGAAUUUUGGACAAUGGGCGCAAGCCUGAUCCAGCAAUGCCGCGUGCGGGAAGAAGGCCUUCGGGUUGUAAACCGCUUUUGGCAGGAACGAAACGGUGUCCGCUAAUACCGGGCGCUAAUGACGGUACCUGCAGAAUAAGCACCGGCUAACUACGUG